rnacentral:lncRNA from 1 species
UCAAGUUAUGACCUGCGGACUGAGAAGGAUCAACAUGCAAUUAAAUCCGAAAAUUAAUCAAAGAAAUACAUUAGAGCUCAAUUAUGACCCAAAGUUUAGAAACAUGGUAAAAAGUUAAUAUUAGGCUAGAAAAGCUUCCAAUACGUCAAAGUACAAAGCCAUAAAAUAUGUGCCAAAAUACACUGAUCAAAUUCCCCCACACCUAUUCUUUUGCUCUCCUGAGCAAAACUCAAGUUUAAAGACUCAAGUAAAACUUUUUUUUUUUUUUGAGAUAACAAAG